rnacentral:lncRNA from 1 species
UCAUGAUCUUCAUAUUCCAUGCCAAGUACAGGCAAAGCUACUUGGCCUUUCAGUUCUUUUGUCACUGCCUCUGCUGUUCACCAUGUGAGGAAGUGUAAGCAUCUCCACUGUCUUUUAUCAGAUUCAUGUGGAUUCCUUCAGGCUGUCUCCUUCUUCAACUUGGACUUGCUGAAGCUCUCCAUAGUGCCUGCCAGUCCUCUCUCUGGUCUCCCUCACAACAGCCACAGAAGUUUUCAAAGAUGGUGUUCCUAGGGCUGUAGGAUGGAACAGCUGUGGUAUAGGAUAUAAGGGAGAAGCUGGCAUCACAAGGGCAACAUAAUAUGACCAA